UCUCAGGUUUCAAGUUUUGGGUUUCGAAUCUGAAGUUCCAGAUUCCAAUAUACAGACUUGGUGUUAAAUUGUGACGUUGUGAGUUUUGUUACUACUCUAAACUUUGACUCUUCAUCGAGGUGACAUUCCGCUUGGCUAGAAAAUAGGUCUACUUGUGUUACCAUGAACAUCUGUAUAGGAAGUACACUACACCUGAUUACAGAAUAUUUGUCUUGAAAUGGAAUAUUGAUGAGGUUUUAUAUGGAGACGUAACAAGUAGUUCCCCCUUCAUACAAGGAGUUUAGUGAAGUAGCCUUGGCCAAUAUCGUUCUAUUAAUGCACAUAUAGAACUGCAAUAGGCGUGAUCGUUGUAAGCUCUUCUGAACAAACUGUCAGAAUCAAAUUGAGAGAUAACAUGCAUGCUGGGACAAUGUUUAGAAAACUGGAUGAUGAAAGGAAGUUGGUUUUGGGAUUAGGAAGUCUACACUAUAGAGUCGGCAGUGCGUUGUGUUGUGCGUACUAAUGUGAUGCGUUGUGGGACAGCAAGGUGCAGAAUGAUUAGUUAAUUAAUAUAACAAUUAUAUUAUAACAUUUUUUAACUUCAAGGAUAUUACUUCAUCAGUUUGUCAUCAUAAAUUACAUUCAUCCCAUUAAACACUUAUAUUGUUAACAUCUAGUCGAUUGUUUAUUGUAAACACGAAGGUGCCUGUUGAAUGUCAGGGGCCCGGGCGAACGAGCUAAGGCUUAAACACAACCCUGACAGUAAUAAUCCGUUGCUGUUGCACUGUCCUAACCCGAAUUUGUCUGACUCCUUUCCUUUCCAGAUG